AAGUUGGACAAUAUUUUUUAUUUUUUUGUUAUUAUUAAAUGAAUUUUAUUUUAAUUUGAAUUUUUAUAUUUAUUGUUUUUACUAUAAGAUUAUUUGCAUUUAAGAUAAAUUGAAUUAUUAUGAAUUAUUAAAUGAACUGUAUUAUCUUAACAUUGCAAAGUAAUCUUGUAAUUAGUAAUCAGUAUUCGGUACAAUUGAAUUGUCAUUUGUUCUAAAUAUUCGCUGAAUAGCCAUUUAUGUUCUAAACCUAAGUUUCGCGUUUCUUAUAAUUAAAAUAAAUCUUCACUUGUAAAUCAUCAGUCGUUGUGAAAACAUUAAAACAUCUCUCCCGCUCUUUAAACUCAGUGCUGUGAACAAAAAUAAAAUAAUAUAUAAAAACAAUACCUCCAACUUCACUUAUUUACUUCAAUUAGCCCGGCAGAACAAAAGAUUGCUCCUUGUUUUCCCCCGCUCUACCAGUCUACAGAAGUUGCUCUAGUUUAUUUCAUGGUCCUAUCGAGCCUCUCAGUAUAUUGAAAAAUAACCAGAAAAAUACCAACAAAUUUCCCUA